rnacentral:rRNA from 1 species
UCGAGCGCAGGAAGCUCACGGAACUCUUCGGAGGGAAGUGAAGGGAAUGAGCGCGGACGGGUGAGUAACACGUAAGGAACCUGCCCCAAGGAUUGGGAUAACUCCGAGAAAUCGGAGCUAAUACCGAAUAGUUCUUCAGACCGCAUGGUCUGAUGAUGAAAGGCGCUCCGGCGUCACCUUGGGAUGGCCUUGCGGUGCAUUAGCUAGUUGGUGGGGUAAUGGCCCACCAAGGCGACGAUGCAUAGCCGACCUGAGAGGGUGAUCGGCCACACUGGGACUGAGACACGGCCCAGACUCCUACGGGAGGCAGCAGUAGGGAAUCUUCCACAAUGGACGAAAGUCUGAUGGAGCAACGCCGCGUGAGUGAUGAAGGUUUUCGGAUCGUAAAACUCUGUUGUAAGGGAAGAACAAGUACGAGAGGUAAUGCUCGUACCUUGACGGUACCUUGCGAGAAAGCCACGGCUAACUACGUGCCAGCAGCCGCGGUAAUACGUAGGUGGCAAGCGUUGUCCGGAAUUAUUGGGCGUAAAGCGCGCGCAGGCGGCCUUUUAAGUCUGAUGUGAAAGCCCCCGGCUCAACCGGGGAGGGUCAUUGGAAACUGGAAGGCUUGAGUACAGAAGAGAAGAGUGGAAUUCCAUGUGUAGCGGUGAAAUGCGUAGAGAUGUGGAGGAACACCAGUGGCGAAGGCGACUCUUUGGUCUGUAACUGACGCUGAGGCGCGAAAGCGUGGGGAGCAAACAGGAUUAGAUACCCUGGUAGUCCACGCCGUAAACGAUGAGUGCUAGGGUGUUGGGGGGUUUCCGCCCCUCAGUGCUGAAGCUAACGCAUUAAGCACUCCGCCUGGGG